CGUCCGAUUAUUGCCGGUCCUCCUUCCAGCACGGCUCUCGCCGACUGCACACUACUCCUUUCUCCGCCGGACUCUACCCCCCACCCACUUUCCCCCCGCCGCAGAGCCGAGGGGGCGGGGGCUCCUUCCCUGGAGUGUUUCUAGAGCCCGGAGGCUGCUAGUAGGGGGGCACCACUUUCAGAUAAAAACGUAGACCUGAAUGGCAUCAUCCAGUAUCCAAGGAAACCAUAAUGGAAUGGAAGAAUGUGAAAUGCUAUUAGACACAGAUCCAGCAGUAGAAAAUCUUAACUGAGA